GACGAACGCUGGCGGCGUGCUUAACACAUGCAAGUCGAACGGAAAGGCCCUGCUUUUGUGGGGUGCUCGAGUGGCGAACGGGUGAGUAACACGUGAGUAACCUGCCCUUGACUUUGGGAUAACUUCGGGAAACUGGGGCUAAUACCGGAUAGGAGCUCCUGCUGCAUGGUGGGGGUUGGAAAGUUUCGGCGGUUGGGGAUGGACUCGCGGCUUAUCAGCUUGUUGGUGGGGUAGUGGCUUACCAAGGCUUUGACGGGUAGCCGGCCUGAGAGGGUGACCGGCCACAUUGGGACUGAGAUAAGGCCCAGACUCCUACGGGAGGCAGCAGUGGGGAAUAUUGCACAAUGGGCGGAAGCCUGAUGCAGCAACGCCGCGUGCGGGAUGACGGCCUUCGGGUUGUAAACCGCUUUCGCCUGUGACGAAGCGUGAGUGACGGUAAUGGGUAAAGAAGCACCGGCUAACUACGUG
rnacentral:rRNA from 1 species